GAUGAACGCUGGCGGCGUGCCUAAUACAUGCCAGUCGAGCGAACGGACGAGAAGCUUGCUUUUCUGAUGUUAGCGGCGGACGGGUGAGUAACACGUGGAUAACCUACCUAUAAGACUGGGAUAACUUCGGGAAACCGGAGCUAAUACCGGAUAAUAUUUUGAACCGCAUGGUUCAAAAGUGAAAGACGGUCUUGCUGUCACUUAUAGAUGGAUCCGCGCUGCAUUAGCUAGUUGGUAAGGUAACGGCUUACCAAGGCAACGAUGCAUAGCCGACCUGAGAGGGUGAUCGGCCACACGGGAACUGAGACACGGUCCAGACUCCUACGGGAGGCAGCAGUAGGGAAUCUUCCGCAAUGGGCGAAAGCCUGACGGAGCAACGCCGCGUGAGUGAUGAAGGUCUUCGGAUCGUAAAACUCUGUUAUUAGGGAAGAACAUAUGUGUAAGUAACUGUGCACAUCUUGACGGUACCUAAUCAGAAAGCCACGGCUAACUACGUG
rnacentral:rRNA from 1 species